UUAAGCGACUAAGCGUACACGGUGGAUGCCCUGGCAGUCAGAGGCGAUGAAGGACGUGCUAAUCUGCGAUAAGCGUCGGUAAGGUGAUAUGAACCGUUAUAACCGGCGAUUUCCGAAUGGGGAAACCCAGUGUGUUUCGACACACUAUCAUUAACUGAAUCCAUAGGUUAAUGAGGCGAACCGGGGGAACUGAAACAUCUAAGUACCCCGAGGAAAAGAAAUCAACCGAGAUUCCCCCAGUAGCGGCGAGCGAACGGGGAGCAGCCCAGAGCCUGAAUCAGUGUGUGUGUUAGUGGAAGCGUCUGGAAAGGCGCGCGAUACAGGGUGACAGCCCCGUACACAAAAAUGCACAUACUGUGAGCUCGAUGAGUAGGGCGGGACACGUGGUAUCCUGUCUGAAUAUGGGGGGACCAUCCUCCAAGGCUAAAUACUCCUGACUGACCGAUAGUGAACCAGUACCGUGAGGGAAAGGCGAAAAGAACCCCGGCGAGGGGAGUGAAAGAGAACCUGAAACCGUGUACGUACAAGCAGUGGGAGCACAGAGCAAUCUGUGUGACUGCGUACCUUUUGUAUAAUGGGUCAGCGACUUAUAUUCUGUAGCAAGGUUAACCGAAUAGGGGAGCCGAAGGGAAACCGAGUCUUAACUGGGCGUUAAGUUGCAGGGUAUAGACCCGAAACCCGGUGAUCUAGCCAUGGGCAGGUUGAAGGUUGGGUAACACUAACUGGAGGACCGAACCGACUAAUGUUGAAAAAUUAGCGGAUGACUUGUGGCUGGGGGUGAAAGGCCAAUCAAACCGGGAGAUAGCUGGUUCUCCCCGAAAGCUAUUUAGGUAGCGCCUCGUGAAUUCAUCUCCGGGGGUAGAGCACUGUUUCGGCAAGGGGGUCAUCCCGACUUACCAACCCGAUGCAAACUGCGAAUACCGGAGAAUGUUAUCACGGGAGACACACGGCGGGUGCUAACGUCCGUCGUGAAGAGGGAAACAACCCAGACCGCCAGCUAAGGUCCCAAAGUCAUGGUUAAGUGGGAAACGAUGUGGGAAGGCCCAGACAGCCAGGAUGUUGGCUUAGAAGCAGCCAUCAUUUAAAGAAAGCGUAAUAGCUCACUGGUCGAGUCGGCCUGCGCGGAAGAUGUAACGGGGCUAAACCAUGCACCGAAGCUGCGGCAGCGACGCUUAUGCGUUGUUGGGUAGGGGAGCGUUCUGUAAGCCUGUGAAGGUGUACUGUGAGGUAUGCUGGAGGUAUCAGAAGUGCGAAUGCUGACAUAAGUAACGAUAAAGCGGGUGAAAAGCCCGCUCGCCGGAAGACCAAGGGUUCCUGUCCAACGUUAAUCGGGGCAGGGUGAGUCGACCCCUAAGGCGAGGCCGAAAGGCGUAGUCGAUGGGAAACAGGUUAAUAUUCCUGUACUUGGUGUUACUGCGAAGGGGGGACGGAGAAGGCUAUGUUGGCCGGGCGACGGUUGUCCCGGUUUAAGCGUGUAGGCUGGUUUUCCAGGCAAAUCCGGAAAAUCAAGGCUGAGGCGUGAUGACGAGGCACUACGGUGCUGAAGCAACAAAUGCCCUGCUUCCAGGAAAAGCCUCUAAGCAUCAGGUAACAUCAAAUCGUACCCCAAACCGACACAGGUGGUCAGGUAGAGAAUACCAAGGCGCUUGAGAGAACUCGGGUGAAGGAACUAGGCAAAAUGGUGCCGUAACUUCGGGAGAAGGCACGCUGAUAUGUAGGUGAAGCCACUCGCGGAUGGAGCUGAAAUCAGUCGAAGAUACCAGCUGGCUGCAACUGUUUAUUAAAAACACAGCACUGUGCAAACACGAAAGUGGACGUAUACGGUGUGACGCCUGCCCGGUGCCGGAAGGUUAAUUGAUGGGGUCAGCGCAAGCGAAGCUCUUGAUCGAAGCCCCGGUAAACGGCGGCCGUAACUAUAACGGUCCUAAGGUAGCGAAAUUCCUUGUCGGGUAAGUUCCGACCUGCACGAAUGGCGUAAUGAUGGCCAGGCUGUCUCCACCCGAGACUCAGUGAAAUUGAACUCGCUGUGAAGAUGCAGUGUACCCGCGGCAAGACGGAAAGACCCCGUGAACCUUUACUAUAGCUUGACACUGAACAUUGAGCCUUGAUGUGUAGGAUAGGUGGGAGGCUUUGAAGUGUGGACGCCAGUCUGCAUGGAGCCGACC
rnacentral:rRNA from 1 species